rnacentral:snRNA from 1 species
AGGUAUGAAGGUGAUCUACUUACAACAUUUCUCUCUGCGUGGUGGCCAGGCUUGAUGCAGCCCAUUUGGCUGGCUAAGCAGGUGGCCCCUUCCUUCCUUACUUAAAGCUCUGCGCUUGGUCAAAGCGGUCAGUCUUCUUCUUGAAUAGAGAAGCAGCAUCCUUCUGAUCUGGGUCUGUGGGAAAGUGUGCUCCUCUGCCAAUCCUUCUAAACGAUCCCUCCAGGUCCAAAAAGAAAUUUGCAGAGUGUUUGUGAGGGUUAGAUGACAUCACAGAUAUAAAACACUUUGUAAACCCUACGGGUUUCUUCCAUUUGGUU